rnacentral:lncRNA from 1 species
CCAGCUGCAGAACUCCAUAAUAUUUGUGAGCCCAAAUUACACAGCAGGUGGCCCCAGGUAGAGGGGCACAGCCCUUCAUCUAGAGGAACUGCAAUACCACAGGGCUGGAUGAGCUGGCUCAAGAUUUUCUGCUUGCAACGUGGCUGUGUACUAUUAUGCUAUAGGUGACUUUGUCUGUUUCUACCUGCCUGGAGAUACAGGAAAAUGCUCAUGCUUCACACCCAGAACCCUCAGGAGAGCCGCAUGGACUCCUCAGAGCCUCCAGGUUUCCAACCAGGUCCUGGUUUAACCAUGUGAUUUGUUUUGGCCAAUGGGAUAACAGUAACUGUGUUAGAAGCAGAAAUUGAAAAAAUUUUCCAAUUUUUUUCUUUGGGCUUGCCCUCUUUUGUGGCUGGAAUUCUUCUCCUCCAUGUGAACAAGUGGAGGCUGGCAUUCUGGAACAGGAAGCACAGGGACAGAAGCCCAGCCAUCCCUGCUGAAGCCCUGGAUAAGUGAGCAGAUUCAUUCUAGACCAGCCAGCCUCAGCUCAGCCAGCCUGACCACAGCAAUCACCCAGGAAGUCCACAAAAUUGUGAGAAACAUUAUGUAUUUAUUGUUUUAAGCCACCAAGUUAGGGGUAGUUUAAUGAACAGCAAAAUAGCCAUAAAAAACUCCUGCACAAUCUUCUAUGUUUGCUCCUUCCCCAUCUGCAGAGAAAAAACUCUGAAGAUCUGGGGGAGGGAAGAGCUAAAACAUGAAAAAAGCCUAGUCCCUGAGUGACUGUGUGGAGCAGAGUGUCCCUUUUUCUCCCCCACGCCCCCAACUCACACAGAAAUAUAACAUGAGCAAGGAAUAACUUGGAUUGUGUCAAGGCCCUGAAAUUUGAGGAUACUCUGUUAUAGCAGUCAGUCUACUUGGUUAAUGUACUACCCACUUCCUAGAAACUGAAAUCUGCCAACACACUUGUGGAAUGGUCCAUAUUCCCAGACUACCGCCACUGGUAGCUAAGAAGAAUCCUCAUCCUCAAGACUUGACUCUGUGCAGCCUCUGUGUAACUCUCAUUCACUUUUCCAUACAUUCAUUCAAUAAAUACUAAUUGCUAAGAAAUGCCAAUCACCUGGUGCCAGCAGCCAAGACAAGAGUGGUCCCUGUCCUUAAGGCACUUGUAGUCUAGUAGCAGGCUAAGGAGGGGAGGACAGUCACUAAACAAAUAAUCCCACUGCAGGCUCCAGGAGGAGAAGGAAGCCAUAUCUAUUUUGCAUACAAUUGCAUCUGCAGCCCUCUGCUCAAUGUAAGGCACAAAAUAAGGGUUUAAUAAGUUGUUGCUGAAUUCAUAAGCACAAGUCAAUAUUUAAUUACAAAUGUUGAUACGAACUGUGAAGGAAAGUUUAAGGAGCCAGGAAAGACUAUAAAAGGGGGGAUCAGAAAAGUUAUCUCUGAGGAAGUAACACUUAAGCCAAGAGCUGAAGGAGGGAGAAGGAAAGGAGGGCAGUAGGGAGCCAAUGAAUAAAUAGUAGAGUGAGAGACGCUUUGAGGCAAGGGAAAUAGCUUAGGCAAAGGCCCUGAAAUAUAAAGAGCCUGCUGCUGAGUUAGAGCAACAGAAGACCAGCAUGGCCAGACCAUGGUGAGUGAAAGAAGUGGGAUAAGAUGGCGAGAACAGUAGAUAGGAUCUGUUACAUAGAUCCCUGUAGGCCAGGUUAGAUUUAUGUUUUAACAGCUUUGUUGAGGUAUAGUCUACAUGCUAAAAAAAAAAAGCUUAUCCACUUUAAGUGUACAGUUCAAUGAGUUUUGAUAAAUGUAUACUGUCAUGCAACCACCAACACAAUCAAGUUUUAGAACUUGAAUUACCCUCAAAGUUUCCUUUAUGCUCUUUUGCAUUCAGUCCAGAUCCCUACCUGACCCCAGGCAAAC